rnacentral:lncRNA from 1 species
AACAACUGAUGCAUAAUGAACGUGAAAUUGCGCGCCGGACUAGACGGCGCAUUUCACAUGCAAUGCUUUUCUCCCAGAAGCCUUCUAACAAAGCUUAUGUACCAGCUACGCUUGGCUCAGAUCCCAUUUCAGAAUUCCCUCCAUCAGAAAAUGUCCAACAUUUGCUGCCUAAGGCAUUACCUGCAGCAGAGCAAAACCAGCAGACGGGCAAAACAGAAAUAGCCCAAGAAGCAACAGUACUGAAUAUCAUUGCAAAGAAGUCAUCAGAGGACUUGAUCAUCUUUAGCGAGGAUGAAUCCUGUCCUGUGGCUGUGGAGUCAACAUUUCCAGCUACUGUCUGUAAAGAGGAAUUGGCAAAAGGUACAAAGGCACCUGCUAAUAAUUCCUGGAAUACAGGUAUGUAGAAAAUAAACUAAAUUUGUGCUAAAUCACAUAUUUGAUCGUAAACAAAACAAUUGGGAGUAAGUGAUUUAUUAUUGCAUUACAUGUAUCUCCCAUUUUUCCCCUGAGAAGC